rnacentral:rRNA from 1 species
UACGAAGGGGGCUAGCGUUGCUCGGAAUCACUGGGCGUAAAGGGUGCGUAGGCGGGUCUUUAAGUCAGGGGUGAAAUCCUGGAGCUCAACUCCAGAACUGCCUUUGAUACUGAAGAUCUUGAGUUCGGGAGAGGUGAGUGGAACUGCGAGUGUAGAGGUGAAAUUCGUAGAUAUUCGCAAGAACACCAGUGGCGAAGGCGGCAUCCUGGACCGACACUGACACUGAGGAGCGAAAGCCAGGGGAGCAAACGGG